rnacentral:rRNA from 1 species
AUACGUAGGUGGCAAGCGUUGUCCGGAAUUAUUGGGCGUAAAGCGCAUGUAGGCGGUGCCUUAAGUCUGUCGUGAAACUGCGGGGCCUAACCCCGUAUGGCGAUGGAAACUGUGGCACUUGAGUGCAGGAGAGGAAAGGGGAACUCCCAGUGUAGCGGUGAAAUGCGUAGAUAUUGGGAAGAACACCGGUGGCGAAGGCGCCUUUCUGGACGGUGUCUGGCGCUGGGAUGCGAAAGCCAGGGUAGCGAACGGGAUUAUAUACCCCGGGAGUCCUGGCCGUAAACGAUGGUUACUAGGUGUGGGAGGUAUCGACCCCUUCCGUGCCGGAGUUAACGCAAUAAGUACCCCGCCUGGGGAGUACGGCCGCAAGGCUUAAACUCAAAGGAAUUGACGGGG